rnacentral:lncRNA from 1 species
CCUAACAUCUACUCGCUAUGGUCACUGUCCAUGCCGGAGCCCUCCUCAUCCUCAUCUCCACUAGCAGCUGCUCCUAUCGCGGGAUCCGCGUCCAUCUCGUCCUUAGAGUCUAACUCAGCUGCUCCAGGUAGGUGGUGAGGGUGGAGCUGGUUAUGCAGCUGGUGGAUCUCCUCAUGCAAGUUCUCAUUGUACUCCUCCGCAUUAGCUAGCUGCUGCUCUAGCUCCGGCUGUCGGGCCCUGAAAGUGUCCUCCUCGUGCUAGGCUUCAUUCCUCUGACCAAGCACAUGGACUAGCAUGCGCUCGCAGUUCCUGUGAGCAGUAGUCACCCUGUCCUUCUACGCUCGUACUGCAAGCAGGUCCUGAAAUAUGAUGCAUUGACCCCCAAGUCAGUACUUAACUAGCCACCUUAGAGUCCUUAACUGGGCAUAAAGGAUAUGACCAUGGCACACUAGAUAGUUUUCCCAAAACUUGGUUUAACACCUUGAUCAUUAUUAAUUAAUAACAUCUUUUAUUAAACCAGUUUAGAUUUUUAUUUAGAACGUACUUAUGAACAGUAACUCGCUAAACCUUGCUCCGAUGCCAGCUGUAACAAACCGACCAAAUUAUAAGAGAUUAAGCCUAACAGAGACCAUUUGCAUAGUCAACCCAUCAGGCUUAAGCCCAUAUAAUCCCAGUAGUCGUGAAAUCUCGAAGGAUUUCAAACCACACAUCGCACAACAGCCAAGAUCGUAAUAAGUUUAGCGGUCACCAUCCACAAAUACAUCCAGAUUACAACAUUCAUAAAAUACAUGAGAGUUCUUAAAAUUAUUACAAACCAAGUUCUUCAAGUAGCGGAAGCUUCAUAGUUCGAAAAUACAACACACACACUUAUUGUGAUACAGUGCCUUAGUUCGAUCAUUCCCACAAAAGCAAAAGAGAAGACGGAGUGACCAUCGCCCUUGGUCUCGUCAUCACCCAUGGCUGGGUACAGACAGAGGAUGCAAUAACCAUAGUACAUUUGACUAUCUGCAAAACAACAUGGGAGUAGAACCCUGAGUACGAGAAGGUACUCAGCUAGACUUACCCAUCAUAAAAAAAAUAAAAAUAAAAUAAAAUAACUUCAAGGAUCAUGAAGGCUAUAUGGUGGGGUAGCUGACGACCAUUUUGCAAAACCGCAGAAUUCUAUAUCAUAACCUAUAUAAAUUUUUCUUCCUUUAAUUUGCUCAAGUUGAAAGUAUCAUUACCUAUUAUCUAGGUUUGCACCUGUAUUAUGAUAGUACCUCAUCAAGCAUUUCUUAAAAUCAUUCCUCAUUUUAACCCAAGUGUUCCAUAGUCCUUACUACGAGGACAGGGCUCAUGUCAAGUGCUCACUAUCCAGGAGCGAUGGCGAUUCGAAUCGAUUUCUAACCAGCUGGCGAGGUAUUCCCCACACAAACCACACUCACUGAUCAAGUGAGCUACAGAUCACUGUAUUACACUAUCCAGGACUAAUUCGCGGGUUCGGCAGGCACCGCCAGUACCCGAGGACCAUUCCGGCGACCGAGGUAUCCAAGGCAUACCAAGGUUGCGCGCCGCACCCUCGUCGUUCUCCUCAACCAUCACCAAUACAGCGCAUGGCGGCUCGAUUCCCGGCCCGGAUAGUGUUCUGGCUUCGCGGUCGGAAUGACUUAUCCUUCCAGCUAAGUGUGGGCAUGCGUUCAACAUGACAAGAGGGCCGUCAACGAUCGGUCCAUAAUCGACAUAGGCAGGAGCACUAUGGUCAACCCACCAUAAGACCCUGCCCGGUCUCCAAUUCCAUUGCACACUUGGUUAUUCUUUUCCCAAAGCAACCACUGCUUAAACAAGUAGGUAUCCACCUAUAUCUCGC